UACGUAGGGGGCGAGCGUUGUCCGGAAUUAUUGGGCGUAAAGAGCGUGUAGGCGGUUCGGUAAGUCUGUCGUGAAAUCCUGGGGCUCAACCUCGGGCGUGCGAUGGAUACUGCCGGGCUAGAGGGUGGUGGAGGCGAGUGGAAUUCCCGGUGUAGCGGUGAAAUGCGCAGAUAUCGGGAGGAACACCAGUAGCGAAGGCGGCUCGCUGGGCCACACCUGACGCUGAGACGCGAAAGCCAGGGGAGCGAACAGG
rnacentral:rRNA from 1 species